CCUACGGGUGACAGCAGUCGAGAAUCAUUCACAAUGGGGGAAACCCUGCUGGUGCGACGCCGCGUGGGGGAAUGAAGGUCUUCGGAUUUUAAACCCCUGUCAUGUGGGAGCAAAUUAAAAAGAUAGUACCACAAGAGGAAGGGACGGCUAACUCUGUGCCAGCAGCCGCGGUAAUACGGAGGUCUCAAGCGUUGUUCGGAAUCACUGGGCGUAAAGCGUGCGUAGGCUGUUUCGUAAGUCGUGUGUGAAAGGCGCGGGCUCAACCCGCGGACGGCACAUGAUACUGCGAGACUAGAGUAAUGGAGGGGGAACCGGAAUUCUCGGUGUAGCAGUGAAAUGCGUAGAUAUCGAGAGGAACACUCGUGGCGAAGGCGGGUUCCUGGACAUUAACUGACGCUGAGGCACGAAGGCCAGGGGAGCGAAAGGGAUUAGAUACCCCUGUAGUC
rnacentral:rRNA from 1 species